rnacentral:rRNA from 1 species
GAUGAACGCUGGCGGCGUGCCUAAUACAUGCAAGUCGAGCGAACGGACGAGGAGCUUGCUCCUCUGACGUUAGCGGCGGACGGGUGAGUAACACGUGGAUAACCUACCUAUAAGACUGGGAUAACUUCGGGAAACCGGAGCUAAUACCGGAUAAUAUAUUGAACCGUAUGGUUCAAUAGUGAAAGACGGUUUUGCUGUCACUUAUAGAUGGAUCCGCGCCGCAUUAGCUAGUUGGUAAGGUAACGGCUUACCAAGGCAACGAUGCAUAGCCGACCUGAGAGGGUGAUCGGCCACACUGGAACUGAGACACGGUCCAGACUCCUACGGGAGGCAGCAGUAGGGAAUCUUCCGCAAUGGGCGAAAGCCUGACGGAGCAACGCCGCGUGAGUGAUGAAGGUCUUCGGAUCGUAAAACUCUGUUAUUAGGGAAGAACAAAUGUGUAAGUAACUAUGCACGUCUUGACGGUACCUAAUCAGAAAGCCACGGCUAACUACGUG